ensembl:lncRNA
UUUCAGUUCUUUGAGCGAUCCUUACCUCUUGUCCUUGAAAUGUAUGCCAUGCAGGAGCAAGGCAUUACUGUGAUAAAUCUCUUUUAUUUUAACAUUUCAAUGGAAUGCUCCAGAUUACACUAUUUGUAAAAAUUUCCAAGUAAGAAAUGGCUUGUAGUAAAUUGAAAAAUAUGAGUAGAACUGAAGUAACUUGUUUCUUAUUUUUCUGUUCUAGACUAAAUACAUCAAUAUAACUGUGUAUAUGUUUUUACUGUCUGAGAGUACUCUUAACUGUUAGUAUAAAAUGUCAAAAGUUCACUGAAUGUAAGCACUGUUAAGAUAAUCUGAACCCUAUGCUAUUUUAAACUGAGAGGCAAAGAUUCCACAGAAAACAUGGCUAUUACUUAUUAGAGUGUGUGCAAUUAAAUAAUGACAAUCUACAUUUAAAACCUAUAAUCUGGAAAUAAUAUCAGAAUUUUAAUACAUACUUAUUUCAAAAACUGGCACAAAUUAAAUGUCAACAUAUUUUACAGUGAUUUGCAAAGGAAUUUAAUUAAAAAUUAUGAUUUCUACAGAUUUAUUUAUUAUUUUGUGGAGUAAUAUAUAGUCAAUCAAUUAAUAUUAAUAUCUAAUACCAAUAUAAUGUUCUUCAAGUUUUGCUUUAUUUUUAGUAUUAAUACCUAUAAAAACAUUUUCAAAAGCUAUUUGAUCCAGUAAACUUCUGAUGAAUUUUAGUCUGUGAAUUAACCAUUUAUAUAAUGUAAAGAUAUUAUGAAUCAAAUUAUUUAUUUCAGUGCCAAAAAUUAAUUAUAAGUUUUUAAUCAUAUGUUAAUUUUAUGAUUUUUAUUUGAAACAAUUAAGAUGUAUUUGUGCCUUUGAAUUAUUAUGACAUUCUGCUUCACUAAAAGAAAUAUUACUGCCAUUAUUAAUAACAUAAUUUUGCUCAUACCUGUGAUACUCCAGUGAUACUGUCUUGUUUACAUUCAGUGAGUACGCUUAAUCAAACCACUUUAACUUGAAUAUAAAAUCCAAAUGUAAUAAAUUAUCCUAUGUAAUUUAUUUUCAUUUAUAACAAUAUUAUUCUUUUCAUAUAUACCUGAAAUAUUUUUAAUUUGUUCUGUAUUAUUUUCUAGACAAUAAAUAAAUUCUAAAUAUUGUUGAAACUGAGUUGUUAGACAGUUGUAAAAAAAAGACAGCAAAUAAUUUUUUAAAAAUAUAUGGUAAAUUCAGUGAUGUCACUUCAUUAUUACUGUUAGAUACUUUUGAUUUGAUAUUGGAAAGUGAGAAGAACAUGUUAAAAUAGAUUUGGGAUCUAAGUCAUCCUUGUGAUAAUAGGUUAAUCACUGAUGAAAAUAUCUAUGACUGAAGUGGUAGAAAAAAUAUUCAUUUCAUAAUUUAAGAAUAUUGGCAUAGAAUAUUAUAAUUAUUUAUGAAACUAUCCAUGCUCUUUUUCAUGGAGAAUGAAGUAAAUGCUCUAUUUGAAAUCCUCAUGGAGUCCUUUUUCAUAGUCAUAUACAGAGUGUUUUACUCAACAAACUUUGUGAGAAGGUGAAAACACUUUUUAAAUAAAAUUGUUAACAUUACUUAUCUCUAGAGAGAAAAGAUUUACAUCUUCUUAUUAACCAUUUGGAGCAUUCUUACAUAGUCUCACAAAUUGAAACUGCAUAUGGGUAUAUUGACAUAUGCUAAAAUUAAAAUGUACAAACUCAAAGAAAUGAAACAUUCCAAUUACAAAAUGAAAAUCUUUCAAGGAAGUAUUCUACAUAUAGGUUUAAGGAUGUUUCAAGAUGAAAUAAUUUUGGGUGCAAAGGAGAAAGUUAUAAAAGGGCCUAAACAAUAGUUGCUGAAUAGAUAUGCUUUUCUUCCAGGGUUCACUCUCCCUUUGGUAAAAAUUGCAUUUACUCACGUAGAUGCAGCUGUUUAACAAGAUUAUGCAAGAAUGCUUAGAGAUUAUUGUUCCCAUAUUAAAGUCAGAGACCUUUAUAUUAUAUAAUAGUAAAUAUUUAUUUGAUAAUAUGUUUAAUAUACUUAGAAAGGCAGUUCAUUAUUCACUAUAGGACCUCACCAAUAACUUAAAUCUAUUACUUGGUAUCACAUCUUUUUUGUACAAUUUUCAGAUUUCUCACCACAAAAUGCUCCUGAUUAUAAUUAUAAAUGUUAAAAGUAUAAAUUUAUAUAUUACAACUUUAUUUUCCUCUUCUGAUAUGAAAACAUGUAUCUUUAGACAUCUAGUUUUAGCCUUCCAUGGAAAAAGAAUAAGCAAAGCAAUGAAUGUUGGAACAAAUCAAUAUCUACCAGACAGGAAAGUAGAAGAACAAAGAAAUGGAAGGCAAAAAUGUCAAACAGCUUCUACGCUUGCAAUAGCUAGAGGACCUGACUGUGAGAAGCACUAUAUUAGGGAGCAGGAACAUUGCUUCUUUGAAAAUUAAAACCACUAAUACUUAAGCAAAGAAGAAAUCCCAGUGAAAACUAGUAGAGAAAGCUCACAGAGAUAGAACUUAUGAUUAAAUUUACAAAUAAAUUUUUCUACUUUAGAAAAAAUAUGCAUAUUUUAAAAUAAAUGGUACUGUCAAGAACAAAUGUAACUGUUCCAACUCUCAAGGAAAUGUUAAUGGCUUAAACUUUGCCUCUAAUCCAUGUUAGAAAUAGGUGAACUCCUUAGAAAUAAAACUUAACAAAAAUCACUUUUUUGGUAUGAGAAUUCUAUUUUGUUUGGUAUGCAUUAAAACAUACUGUCUUUUCUUUAACUUAUAUAUUCCAUUCAAGUUCUAUACUCUUAAAUUGAUUACCAUGAGGUUUAAAAAAAUUGUUUCAUUAUAGUAUGUCCCUAUGAAAUGCUGUAUAUAUAUGUCUAAACUGUAAAAAUUAUACUGCAAAUGUUGAAGUUUUGUAUUUAUGAGAGACAUUGAAAGUAUGGCUUACAGUAUAUCAAAAUUGUCACUCUUCACCAUUUGUAUAUUAAUAGUAAAGAUACUUUUACUUUAAUAAA